rnacentral:rRNA from 1 species
CCUACGGGGGGCAGCAGUAGGGAAUUUUCCACAAUGGACGAAAGUCUGAUGGAGCAACGCCGCGUGAGUGAAGAAGGGUUUCGGCUCGUAAAGCUCUGUUGGUAGUGAAGAAAGAUAGAGGUAGUAACUGGCCUUUAUUUGACGGUAAUUACUUAGAAAGUCACGGCUAACUACGUGCCAGCAGCCGCGGUAAUACGUAGGUGGCAAGCGUUGUCCGGAUUUAUUGGGCGUAAAGCGAGUGCAGGCGGUUCAAUAAGUCUGAUGUGGAAGCCUUCGGCUCAACCGGAGAAUUGCAUCAGAAACUGUCGAACUUGAGUGCAGAAGAGGAGAGUGGAACUCCAUGUGUAGCGGUGGAAUGCGUAGAUAUCUGGAGGAACAUCAGUGGCGAAGGCGACUAUCUGGCACAUAACUGACGCUGAGGAGCGAAAGCGUGGGUAGCAAACAGGAUUAGAUACCCGUGUAGUC